CAAGAUAAAUGCCACUUCAUUUGAAAUCAGGGGCAGUAACAACAUACAUUAUUUAACUAAGUGUUUAUCAUUCUCCACAUGGGGAUUUGAAUAUCCUUUGAUUCAACUAAGUAAUACAUUUAAUGUAUGUGUUAUUUGACAGUUGUUUACGGUUAAAUAAAAGACAGUAUAAAAAUGUUGGAAAAAUUUCCUCUUUCAGACUCCUAUUGGUGUUGCAGCUCGCUUCAACUUCCAGACUACAGCCAGACCCCCUCUUGCACCUACACCUGGGUGCAAGAGGACCUAUGAUGACGUCAAUCCCCAGGGUAUUUGCCGCCCAAACAACCCCGGACCAGCCAACAAGCGGAAAACAGAGGAACACGUGGGACAAGUGACUCAUUCUGCACAUUAGCCACGACGUGAGACGAAGAGGGCUUUGGAGGAUAUCUCAUAUAAGGUAGGUGGUGCAUCACUUCCCUGUAUGAAUGAUUUACUGUGGUAGUCUCAAGAUUCAAAGAUUCAAACUAUUUUUUGUUUCAUGCAACAGCCCGAACAGCCCAGGACCUGACAGGAGAGCCCCAAGAAGGAACAUCGACUCCCAGGAUGGACCGGAUGUUUCUAUUUUAAUGUUUUGUAUUUGUAUUGUAUUGUAUUGUAUUUUUUGUUUAAUCUUGUACUGUGAUGCAUUUGAAAUACAUCUUCCAUUUUAUUGUAUUAUGAAACGAUCUUCCACUGUAUUGUAUUUCAUUUUCAUUGCCAUUGUAUGUUCUUGCAAUUACAUCAGCCAGUGUAUUUGCAAUAGAUCUUACAUGGCAUGGAAUUUGAAAUGCAUCUUCCAUUUUCUGUAUUAUAAAAAGAUCUUUCACUGUAUUGUAUUUCAAAUGCA